rnacentral:rRNA from 1 species
GACGAACGCUGGAGGCGUGCUUAACUCAUGCAAGUCGAACGAUGAAAUGGAGCUUGCUCCAUGGAUUAGUGGCGAACGGGUGAGUAACACGUGAAUAACCUGCCCUUAAUUUUGGAAUAACCCAGGGAAACCUGGGCUAAUACCGGAUAAGUAAACCUGUGGCAUCACAUGGUUUUGGAAAGUUUUUCGAUUAAGGAUGGAUUCGCGGCCUAUUAGCUUGUUGGUGAGGUAAUGGCUCACCAAGGCGACGACGGGUAGCCGGCCUGAGAGGGUGAACGGCCACACUGGGACUGAGACACGGCCCAGACUCCUACGGGAGGCAGCAGUGGGGAAUAUUGCGCAAUGGACGAAAGUCUGACGCAGCGACGCCUCGUGAGGGACGAAGGUCUUCGGAUUGUAAACCCCUUUCAGCAGGGACGAAGCGAAAGUGACGGUACCUGCAGAAGAAGCACCGGCUAACUAUGUGCCAGCCGCCGCCGUAA